CCUACGGGAGGCUGCAGUGAGGAAUAUUGGUCAAUGGGCGAGAGCCUGAACCAGCCAAGUCGCGUGAGGGAGUACUGCCCUAUGGGUUGUAAACCUCUUUUGUCGGGGAGCAAAAGCCGGACGUGUCCGGCUGUGAGAGUACCCGAAGAAAAAGCAUCGGCUAACUCCGUGCCAGCAGCCGCGGUAAUACGGAGGAUGCGAGCGUUAUCCGGAUUUAUUGGGUGUAAAGGGUGCGCAGGCGGAUUUUUAAGUCAGCGGUAAAAUCGUGGGGCUCAACCCCAUCCAGCCGUUGAAACUGGGGAUCUAGAGUGUGCGAGAGGUAUGCGGAAUGCGUGGUGUAGCGGUGAAAUGCAUAGAUAUCACGCAGAACCCCGAUUGCGAAGGCAGCAUACCGGUGCACAACUGACGCUCAGGCACGAAAGCGUGGGUAUCGAACAGGAUUAGAUACCCUUGUAGUC
rnacentral:rRNA from 1 species